UCAGUCGACUCCUACGGGGAGGCAGCAGUGGGGAAUAUUGCACAAUGGGGGAAACCCUGAUGCAGCCAUGCCGCGUGUGUGAAGAAGGCCUUCGGGUUGUAAAGCACUUUCAGUAGGGAGGAAGGUAGUGUAGUUAACACCUGCAUUAUUUGACGUUACCUACAGAAGAAGCACCGGCUAACUCCGUGCCAGCAGCCGCGGUAAUACGGAGGGUGCGAGCGUUAAUCGGAAUUACUGGGCGUAAAGCGCAUGCAGGCGGCCUGUUAAGUCAGAUGUGAAAGCCCGGGGCUUAACCUCGGAAUUGCAUUUGAAACUGGCAGGCUAGAGUCUUGUAGAGGGGGGUAGGAAUUUCAGGUGUAGCGGUGAAAUGCGUAGAGAUCUGAAGGAAUACCAGUGGCGAAGGCGGCCCCCCUGGACAAAGACUGACGCUCAGAUGCGAAAGCGUGGGGAGCAAACAGGAUUAGAUACCCCUGGUAG
rnacentral:rRNA from 1 species